GAUGCUGCAAAAAGAGAAAUGGAGUUUUAGCAGCAGGAAGGUGUCGCUGAAUGGCAAUAAGAGCACAACCACCCUUUGCUCUGCCUGCUGUCGGAGGUACCCCGCUCUCAGGGGGAUGAUUGCUCUUCAGCACUUGGCCAAGGUCAGACAGGAAAAUGGAGAUCGAGCACAUCCACAAAAGCGGUGGCUGGUUGGGAUCGCAUCGGUGAAGUGGCAUGCUCGCUGGAAAGAAACAGCGGCUGUGCUGGCUGCAGAGGAACCUGGCUGCACGGCACGGAGUGCUUCGACAGCCACCACUCCCGUGAAAGCAAGGGACACAGCCAGCAGCAGCGGGGACUGGGCUGUGCCCUGCUCCCCGACACCGAGAAGCACCAGGGCUGACGCCGUCUGCACAGUUGCCUUGUGUGCUGCUGCCUUUGCUGUGCUUGGUAGUGCAGCUGAUGCUCUCACGGGCAGGGUCUUGGGGUCCAGGACCUCACUGGAGAGACUAACUCCUUUCAAAAGGUCCACUUUCUCUCCACUGUCAUGCUCUCUCUCUCAGUUCCUUUGGGGCAGGAAUUUCUCAAGCUUAGUUUUGGUCUUCAUGCCGUGGUUUGAAGGACUGAAGGACUGUUUCAGCAAAAUUGUUGAGCUUUUCUUUUUUUUUUUUUUUUUAACUGAAGUAUAUAGCAGUGACUAAGCAAAAUACUUUUUUUUUUUUUAACAUUGUUUAACUGUUUAAAAAUAAUUCAGUUUUCAAACUCAGUGUUUUUGUCAGUUGGGGUGUACAUCUAACGUGGCAGGGAACAGAUAUAAACAAAUAAAAUGGUUGUUAAAAUGCGGGAGCGAUAGGAA
rnacentral:lncRNA from 1 species